AGUCACUGACAUUAGAUACCCCGGUAGUCCCAGCCGUAAACUAUGCUCGCUAGGUGUCAGGCAUGGCGCGACCGUGUCUGGUGCCGCAGGGAAGCCGUGAAGCGAGCCACCUGGGAAGUACGGUCGCAAGGCUGAACUUAAAGGAAUUGGCGGGGAGCACCACAACGGGUGGAGCCUGCGGUUUAAUUGGACUCAACGCCGGGAAGCUCACCGGAUAAGACAGCGGAAUGAUUGCCGGGCUGAAGACUCUGCAUGACUAGCUG
rnacentral:rRNA from 1 species